ensembl:lncRNA
AAUGAAAUGCCUUUUUGUCACACAAACAACAGACAUGCAGUCUCGCUGAAGAUAAUAAGGCUGGCGGCGUGGUUCACAGGUGCCAUAUAUAUAUCAUGCAACGCGCUUAAUUGCCACGUCACCUGAUCAUGGCAGGCCUAUAAGUAGAGGCAUGAUUUUACACAAGCUUCAGAUAAAGGUCACGCAUGCAAGGGCGCUCCCAUACUGUUAUGCUAAACGCAACGUCAAAGUUCCCUUUGAAAGGGAACUCAUACGCAUCCACAACCUGAAGGCCUUACAGAACUCUUUAGAUCUUAGCCAUGAUGACACCACACACCUCAAUAGCAACGGAAACACCAGACACUGGAUAUGAGAGGGGUGUAAAUACGACCAGUUCCACCUGCACUCCCUAAUCAGGUUCUAAUCACUGAUUAAUAUGAUUCGAAUUUUAUGGAUUUGAAGAUGUGAUGAACGUAAGGGUGUACUUACUUUUUCCAUGUGAUUAAUUUGUUUUGUUUUUAAUUUAAAUUCUGAAAAUUACUACAAAAUGUCGGUUUUAUGCGUCAUGUGAUGGGGUAUCAGCUUUAUUAUAGACACUGUUUCAAAGAGGAUCACAUGAUUACUUGUCCAAAUACUGUAUGUGAAAAAAUCCAACAGCUUCCAUGGGGUGUACUUACUUUUUCACAUGACUGUAAAUAAAUAACUGAAAGAACAAGUGAGUAAAUAAAUAAAUUUGUAGGUGAGUAAAUGAACACAGAGCACAAGUGUACACACCCCAUGCAGUUAAUAACUGAAAAUAAUGAUGAGAGAGAUCAUUAAAACACCACAGUAACCGCAUUUACACACACCAGAAGAUAGAUGCAUAAACAAACAAACAAAUAAGUGAGCGAGUAAAUAAAUAAAUGAGAUAAAUAGAUGGAUAGACAGAUAGAUAAGUAAACAAACCAAUAAAUGAUUGAGUGCGUAAAUAAUUAAAUAAACGGAUAAAUAGACAAGUGAGUACGUAGAUAAAUAAAUAAAUAAACAAAUGAGUGUGAGAAAAUAGGUAAAUAAAUGAGUGAGUGAGUAAAUAGAUAGAUAAAUAAAUGAGUGAGUGAAGAUAUAGAUAGAUAGAUAGAUCAAUAAAUGAGUGAGUGAGAAAAUAGAUAAAUAAAUUAAUGAGCGAUCGACUAAAUAGAUAGAUAGAUAAAUAGAUAAAUGAGUGAGUGAGAAAAUAGAUAGAUAGAUAGAUAGAUAGAUAGAUAGAUAAACAAAUGAGUGAGUGAGAAAUAGAUAAAUAAAUGAAUGAGCGAGUGAGUAAAUAGUUAGAUAAAUAGAUAAAUAAAUGAGUGAGUGAGAAAUAGAUAGAUAGAUAGAUAGAUAGAUAAACGAAUGAGCGAGUGAGUAGAUAGAUAGAUAAAUAAAUGAAUGAAUGAGCGAGUGAGUAAAUAGAUAGAUAGAUAGAUAGAUAAACAAAUGAGUGAGUGAGAAAAUAGAUAGAUAGAUAGAUAGAUAGAUAAACAAAUGAGUGAGUAAAUAGAUAGAUAGAUAGAUAGAUAGAUAGAUAGAUAGAUAAAUGAGUGAGUGAGAAAAUAGAUAGAUAGAUAGAUAAAUGAAUGAGCGAGUGAGUAAAUAGAUAGAUAGAUAGAUAGAUAGAUAGAUAGAUAGAUAGAUAAAUGAGUGAGUGAGAAAUAGAUAGAUAGAUAGAUAAAUGAAUGAGCGAGUGAGUAAAUAGAUAGAUAGAUAGAUAGAUAGAUAGAUAGAUAGAUAAAUGAGUGAGUGAGAAAAUAGAUAGAUAGAUAAAUAAAUGAAUGAGCGAGUGAGUAAAUUGAUAGAUAGAUAGAUAGAUAGAUAGAUAAAUGAAUGAGGGAGUGAAUAGAUAGAUAGAUAGAUAAAUGAAUGAGGGAGUGAGUAAAUAGAUAGAUAGAUAUAUAGAUAGAUAAAUGAGUGAGUGAGAAAAUAGAUGAAUAAAUGAAUGAGCGAGUGAGUAGAUAGAUAGAUAGAUAGAUAAAUGAACGAGCGAGUGAGUAGAUAGAUAGAUAAAUAA